AUGGAUUUCUCCGCCGGGCGUGCACGGGCCGAGAAUUUCAAUCCGGGCGGCUCCGCCGUUUCCUAAACUCGAGGCGUCCAGGGAGAGGGCGUUACACACACACUCGCCGGAGCGCUCGGGCCCUGGGAAUCGGCAAACGCUGCGGGUUCCAGCCCCGCGACUCAGGCCGGGCGAAGAUUAGAGUCACCGCCUCAGUUCCUCCAUCUGUAAAGUGGGACCCAGGAGGGUCGGACCCCCAGGGGUGUGGCUGGCGGCAGCGUAGGUCUUCGGGGCUGCGGACUCCCGGCCCCCGGGACCCCCCUGUCCCGCUGUGGAAACUGGCACGGGGACCGGAGGGCGGAUCCCCCGGGCACUUGCCGAGGCCACUGACCCAGGUCUGGAUGUUCCCCGAGGCCCAAGGUCACCACUGGGCCCCCCCGGGGACUGACGAGAGGCCUCUGGCGGGAAAAGGGGCUGGCUCAGGCAGGCAGCAGGCCCCAGAACCCCCCGCACACGCGGGCACAGGAAGCCCCAGCAAUGCCCCUCCCUCCAAUUUCUCAACCCGUGAUGGGAAAAGAAGAGAAAAGGAAGAAAGAUUUCCUCCAAAGCUUCACUGUGGCAGAAUUCCGCUCUGAGGUCCUUACCCGCCUCCAGGCAGCCCUCCCUGCUCGCCGCUCACCACGGGCACAGGGCACAAAUUGUGUCCUUCUUCUGCUCUAAACUCUGCUGUGGCUCCCCAGUGCCCUCAGGAGAAAAACCAAACUCCUCCCUGCGGCCCAUGAAGCCCUCAGCAGGCUUGGCAUCCCCUGCUCCAGCCACACCAGCUGCCCGAAGGACACACCAGGCUCCAGGUGGCCCCCAGCCCUUUGCAUUGGCUGCUCCAUGAGAAACCUGGCUCCUUCUCGCCCUUCUGAACUCAGCUCAAAGGACCCCUCCUCCAGGAAGCCCUCCUGCCUGCCCCCUUAGACAUUUCCAAGACAGAGAGAGACAGAGAGACGGGGAGAUAACCAGCUCUUUCAAGCUCACGUCCUGUAGGCUCCCCGAGGGUAGGCACCAGCUCUUUCUUUUUUUCUAUUUUAUUUUUAUGCUAUUUUCAGACACUCAUGGACAUGGACUUGGUGCCAGACACCCCUCCAAGUGGUUUACAGAGAUGAAGUUUUUGGUGCCAUAAACACCGGUUAUGCGACAUCCUGAGGUGGGGACUGAGGUAGUUCCCUUUCACCAGUGCCCAAUCAAUGCAUGUGUAUUUUAUAUGGAUGCCAGUCACGCUGCGCCAGGCCCACUCGAACGACCUCGUCAUAACUCGGUCACAUCUGCCAAGGCCCUAUUUUUUUUUUUUUUUUUUUGAGACGGAGUGUCGCUGUGUCGCCCAGGUUGGAGUGCGGUGGCGCGAUCUCGGCUCACUGCAAGCGCCGCCUUCCGGGUUCACACCAUUCUCCUGCCUCAGCCUCCCGAGUAGCUGGGACUACAGGCGCCUGCCGCCACCACGCCCGGCUAAUUUUGUUUUUGUAUUUUUCAUAGAGACGGGGUUUCACCGUGUUAGCCAGGAUGGUCUCGAUCUUCUGACCUUGUGAUCCGCCUGCCUCGGCCUCCCAAAGUGCUGGGAUUACAGGCGUGAGCCACCGCGCCCGGCCGCAAAGGCCCUAUUUCUAAAUAAAGUCCCAUUCACAAGUUUCAGGGGCCAGGAUGUGAACAGAUCUUCCAGGAGACACCAAGCAGCCUCAGUGUCCAUUGAUGGAUCCGGGCCCUCCCUUCAAGCCUUUUCCCAUCCCCCCUCCACCUCCUGCACCGAGACCCCAGCAUGAAGCUUCCUCGGGCCUCACCGACCUCUGCUAAGUCCAGGAGACGCUGUGAGCACCCGAGGGUAGGGCCUGAGGCUCCCUGCCCCCACCUGGGCUGGCACCUGGGAGAGGAGGGUUCCCCUCAGCAGUUAGCUGUGGGCUGGCUGUGCGCCCCUUGCCAAGCUCCUGGGACACGGGCUGAGCAGAGCCCAGGGUGCCCCAGCCCCUUCCCGAGUCCCUGCUGGGCCCGUGUCGCCCACUGAUGGGGAGAUGCCCAAGUUCUGUGACCCCGGGGGCAGGAUGGUGAGGCGGCCCCUGGGGACCCAGAGUCCUGCCCUGCCAGGGCCUCCUGCACCCUCAACCCCAAACCCAGAAAAGUCAGGCGGAGCCCAAGGCCAGAGCAGGCCAGUCACAGCUGGGAGGCGGGGGGCCCAGGGGCCAGGAAGGCCGGGAUGGAGCCCUCGGCCCAUCGCCCUGCACAGCCGCCCCUGCGCUGCCUCUGUCUCCCCAUGUCUCUCUGUCUCUCUCCGACUUGCUGUAUCUCUGUAUCCCUCUGUCUCUCUGUGUCUCUUUCUCUGUCUCUGUCCGACUCGAUCUAUCUCUGUCUCCCUCUGUCUCUCUGUCUCUUUCUCUGUCUCCUUCCCUCUCUGUCUCUGUUUAUCUCUAUUUCUGUCUCUCCCUCUCUCUGUUUCCCUCUGUCUCUGUCUUUGUCUCUCUGUUUUUGUCUGUCUCCCCCAUCUCUGUCUCUCUGUCUCCCUCUGUCUCUGUCUCUCUGUCUCUGUCUCCUUCUGUCUCUGUCACUGUC
rnacentral:lncRNA from 1 species